rnacentral:sRNA from 1 species
AGCAGCCGCGGUAAUUCCAGCUCCAAUAGCGUAUAUUAAAGUUGUUGCAGUUAAAAAGCUCGUAGUUGAAUUUCGGGAUCAGCAGGUUGGUCGUGCCUAUGGUAUGAACUGGCCUUGCUGAUUCCUCCCUCUUGAUGAGCCGUAAUGCCAUUAAUUUGGUGUUGCGGGGAAUCAGGACUGUUACUUUGAAAAAUUAGAGUGUUUAAAGCAGGCAAGCGCUUGAAUACAUUAGCAUGGAAUAAUGAAAUAGGACGUUUGAUCCUAUUUUGUUGGUUUCUAGGAUUGACGUAAUGAUUAAUAGGGAUAGUUGGGGGCAUUAGUAUUCAAUUGUCAGAGGUGAAAUUCUUGGAUUUAUUGAAGACUAACUACUGCGAAAGCAUUUGCCAAGGAUGUUUUCAUUAAUCAAGAACGAAAGUUAGGGGAUCGAAGACGAUCAGAUACCGUCGUAGUCUUAACCAUAAACUAUGCCGACUAGGGAUCGGAUGAUGUUAAUUUUUAAUGACUCU